UGAAUACGAGACGCUACGGCGUCGAAGCAGUCUAUGUCAUACUUCCAAGAAAAGCUCGCAAUGUCAUAAACAAAUAAUGCCUGUACCAUAACCGACACAGGUGGGUAGGUAGAGUAUACUAAGGGGCGCGAGAUAACUCUCUCUAAGGAACUCGGCAAAAUGACUCCGUAACUUCGGGAGAAGGAGUGCCUUAUUUAUAAGGUUGCAAUAACAAGAUCCAAGCAACUGUUUAUCAAAAACACAGGUCUCCGCUAAGUCGUAAGACGAUGUAUGGGGGCUGACGCCUGCCCAGUGCCAGAAGGUUAAAGAAGUUGGUUAGCAUUCGCGAAGCUGAUAACUGAAGCCCUGGUGAACGGCGGCCGUAACUAUAACGGUCCUAAGGUAGCGAAAUUCCUUGUCGGGUAAGUUCCGACCCGCACGAAAGGCGUAAUGAUUUGGAUACUGUCUCGGAGAGGGGCUCGGUGAAAUAGACUUGUCUGUGAAGAUGCGGACUACCUGCACCUGGACAGAAAGACCCUAUGAAGCUUUACUGUAACUUGAAAUUGAAAUUGGACUUUAUUUGCGCAGCAUAGGUGGGAGGCGUUGAGAGUAUUCUUGCGGGAAUAUUGGAGCCAUCAGUGAGAUACCACUCUUGUAAUGUUAGAUUUCUAACUUUGUAUCAUUAUCUGGUCAAAGAACAGUUUCAGGCGGGCAGUUUGACUGGGGCGGUCGCCUCCCAAACGGUAACGGAGGCGUACAAAGGUUUCCUCUGAACGGGUAGAAAUCGUAUCUAGAGUGUAAAGGCAUAAGGAAGCUUGACUGUGAGACCUACAAGUCGAGCAGGGACGAAAGUCGGUCUUAGUGAUCUGACGGUGCUGAGUGGAAAGGCCGUCACUCAACGGAUAAAAGUUACUCUAAGGAUAACAGGCUGAUCUCCCCCAAGAGUUCACAUCGACGGGGAGGUUUGGCACCUCGAUGUCGGCUCAUCGCAUCCUGGGGCGGUAGUACGUCCCAAGGGUUGGGCUGUUCGCCCAUGAAAGCGGUACGCGAGCUGGGUUCAGAACGUCGUGAGACAGUUCGGUCCAUAUCCGGUGUAGGCGUUAGAAUAUUGAGAGGAGCCUUCUUUAGUACGAGAGGACCGAGAAGGACAUACCUCUGGUGUACCAGUUAUCGUGCCAACGGUAAACGCUGGGUAGCUAUGUAUGGAGAGGAUAACCGCUGAAAGCAUCUAAGUGGGAAGCCCACCUCAAGAUAAGUAUUCUC
rnacentral:rRNA from 1 species